GGGGGGAAUUUAGAAGGCAAAAGAAAGGCAUUGAGCUCAAGUGUUGAAUAAAAGAAAAAGCAUGAGAAAAGGAAAAGAUGAAAAGAAAAAGCAUGAAAGAUGAGCUUAAUGUAAAAAUAAAAGGAAAGGGAAGAAGUUGGGAAUGAGUGAGAAUUGGUUAAGAAGAGAGUUUGUGCUUGAACUUUGAAUGGUAAAAUAACUCUCUUGACUCAAGGAUUUUGUGAUCCAGAAAAACCAAUUUUUGUUGUUAGCCCAGCCUCAUUAUAAGCCAUGGAAAAGUCCUUGUGAUGGCAUUU
rnacentral:lncRNA from 1 species